UAUGGCCAUGUCACAUUGAAACACUGGUUCCCAUACAAUCAGCAAAGUUAAGCAACAUUGAACUUGGUCAGUACCUAGAUGGGUGACUGCUUGAGAAUACCAGGUGUUGUAAG